GGAAAAGCGAGAAUAGUAAGGCUCGGAACUUGAGGAGAAUGAUGUUUCCGUCUUGAAUGUUCUGUUCCAGCUCCGAGAUCCCGUUCUGGACUGCUAAAAGCUGUUCCAUCGUGCUCAUAGGUGCGGAACUUGAGGAGAAAGCCAACAUGGUAGCUGCAACCACCAUAGCAACUGCAAACUUCUCGCUAGCCUGAGGGAAAAGCGAGAAUAGUAAGGCUCGGAACUUGAGGAGAAUGAUGUUUCCGUCUUGAAUGUUCUGUUCCAGCUCCGAGAUCCCGUUCUGGACUGCUAAAAGCUGUUCCAUCGUGCUCAUAGGUGGAGGAGCGGUUACUUUCAGCUCGACCGUGAGCUUUCCUCUGCUGAAACAUCUUGUGAGAACCAUGAAGAUGAUACAGUUUGGAUGUAUCAAACUUGUAAAAAAGACAAGUUUAAGGGAAAUCCCAAGGUUUUAUAGAUAGAAACGUGAAAUACAAUGAGUUUUUCUUUGGAGUCUCUCCUCUCCUUCAUGAACUACUUGACAAAACAAUCGAUAAAAGAUACUCUUACUCCUCUCUCACUUCUUAUACCCGAUCCAAGGUUGUUACUGACGCCGUCAAGUGACCUCCGUGACAGACAAACGCACAUGUCAUGUCGGUGAGUCAGCACAACGUUAUUCCUUUAUUCUUCUACGCAAUGCCCACGGAAUUCCAACACUCCUGGGCCAAAAGUACUUCUCUUCUCUCACUUCUUAUGGGCCCUCCUUCUGUACUGGUACAAGAUAGGUGGGUGCCUUGCGUCGUACGUAUCAGAAGACUGCGGAGAAGAGAGAUGCAAGAGCAAAGACGUAUACAAGCCAUC
rnacentral:lncRNA from 1 species